rnacentral:rRNA from 1 species
UAGGGAAUCUUCCGCAAUGGGCGAAAGCCUGACGGAGCAACGCCGCGUGAGUGAUGAAGGUCUUCAGAUCGUAAAACUCUGUUAUUAGGGAAGAACAUAUGUGUAAGUAACUGUGCACAUCUUGACGGUACCUAAUCAGAAAGCCACGGCUAACUACGUGCCAGCAGCCGCGGUAAUACGUAGGUGGCAAGCGUUAUCCGGAAUUAUUGGGCGUAAAGCGCGCGUAGGCGGUUUUUUAAGUCUGAUGUGAAAGCCCACGGCUCAACCGUGGAGGGUCAUUGGAAACUGGAAAACUUGAGUGCAGAAGAGGAAAGUGGAAUUCCAUGUGUAGCGGUGAAAUGCGCAGAGAUAUGGAGGAACACCAGUGGCGAAGGCGACUUUCUGGUCUGUAACUGACGCUGAUGUGCGAAAGCGUGGGGAUCAAACA